rnacentral:misc_RNA from 1 species
GAUGAAGAACGCAGCGAAAUGCGAUAAGUAAUGUGAAUUGCAGAAUUCAGUGAAUCAUCGAAUCUUUGAACGCACAUUGCGCCCCUUGGUAUUCCGAGGGGCAUGCCUGUUCGAGCGUCAUUAUAACCCUCAAGCUCAGCUUGGUGUUGGGGCCUGCUGCACUGGCAGCCCUUAAAAUCAGUGGCGGCGCCAUCUGGCUCUAAGCGUAGUAAUUCUUCUCGCUAUGGAGUCCUGGUGGACGCUUGUCAUCAACCCCCAAUUUUUCUAUGGUUGACCUCGGAUCAGGUAGGGAUACCCGCUGAACUUAAGCAUAUCAAUAAGCGGAGGA